rnacentral:rRNA from 1 species
UUUACCUACGGGGGGCAGCAGUGAGGAAUAUUGGACAAUGGGCGGGAGCCUGAACCAGCCAAGUCGCGUGAGGGAAGACGGUCCUAUGGAUCGUAAACCUCUUUAGGCGGGGAGCAAUGCCGGGCACGCGUGCCCGGAGGGAGAGUACCCGCAGAAUAAGCAUCGGCUCACUCCGUGCCAGCAGCCGCGGUAAUACGGAGGAUGCGAGCGUUAUCCGGAUUUAUUGGGUUUAAAGGGUGCGUAGGCGGUUUUUUCAGUCAGCGGUAAAAUGUCCGGGCUCACCCCGGUCCGGCCGUU